GCGGAUGUAGCCAAGUGGAUCAAGGCAGUGGAUUGUGAAUCCACCAUGCGCGGG
rnacentral:tRNA from 2 species